AAGGACUAAGGUGAAAGCUGACUGCCCGCACCGCCCCAGGCGCACUGGGUAGGACUGAAAGGCAGGGACUAAGGUGACAGCUGACUCUGCCGGGGCGGAGUGCGUGUCCUCCCACCGUGCUGGCGCUGAACUGACUGUCCGCUGCCAAGGGAAGUGACAGCCGCAGCCGGGCUCUCAGCCAGCGGCCAGGCGCCCCGCGGACCAUGCUCUCCAGUACGCAGAACGCGGGCGGCUCCUAUCAGCGGGUCCGCGGGGCGCUUGAUACACAGAAAUGCAGUCCAGAGAAAAGUGCCUCAUUUUUCAGUAAAGUGACAUAUUCCUGGUUUAGCAGAGUAAUUACUUUAGGCUAUAAGAGACCUUUGGAAAGAGAGGAUCUUUUUGAACUAAAGGAAAGUGAUUCCUUCUGCACUGCGUGUCCCAUCUUUGAAAAACAAUGGAGAAAGGAAGUUUUAAGGAAUCAAGAGAGGCAAAAAGUAAAGGUAUCUUGUUAUAAAGAGGCACAUAUCAAGAAACCAUCUCUACUCUAUGCAUUGUGGAACACCUUUAAAUCCAUCCUGAUUCAAGUUGCCUUAUUCAAAGUGUUUGCUGAUAUUUUGUCCUUCACUAGCCCACUCAUAAUGAAGCAAAUUAUCAUUUUCUGUGAACACAGCUCAGAUUUUGGCUGGAAUGGCUAUGGCUAUGCAGUGGCACUUCUUGUUGUAGUCUUUUUGCAAACUCUGAUUCUUCAGCAAUAUCAACGUUUUAACAUGCUCACCUCAGCAAAAGUUAAGACAGCUGUAAAUGGACUGAUCUACAAAAAGGCCUUACUUUUAUCAAAUGUUUCUCGACAAAAGUUUUCCACUGGGGAAAUUAUUAACUUGAUGUCAGCAACUCAUGGACUUGACAGCAAACCUCAAUCUCCUCUGGUCUGCCCCUUUUCAAAUCCUAAUGGCCGUAUAUCUCCUUUGGCAAGAGCUGGGUCCAGCAGUGUUAGCAGGGGUGGCAGUCCUUGUGUUUGUUAUACCAAUAAAUGCUUUAGCUGCAACUAAAAUAAAAAAGUUAAAGAUCCUCAAACUUUAUGCAUGGGAACCCUCCUAUAAAAAUAAGAUUAUCAAAAUUCGAGAUCAGGAAUUGGAAUUUCAAAAAUCAGCUAGGUAUCUUACUGUAUUUUCCAUGUUGACAUUAACCUGCAUUCCAUUCUUGGUGUCCCUGGCAACCUUGUGUGUCUAUUUCUUACUGGAUGAAGGAAACAUUUUAACAGCCACUAAAGUGUUCACAUCGAUGUCUUUGUUUAAUAUUUUAAGGAUUCCUCUGUUUGAGUUACCAACCGUGAUCUCAGCUGUGGUCCAGACAAAGAUAUCCCUGGGCCGUUUGGAAGACUUUCUCAACACUGAGGAGCUUCUUCCUCAAAGUAUUGAAACGAACUAUACAGGAGAUCAUGCUAUUGGGUUUACAGAUGCUUCUUUCUCCUGGGAUAAAACAGGAAUGCCAGUUCUAAAAGAGGCUCUGUGGCUUAUGUUUCUCAGCAGGCCUGGAUUCAGAAUUGCAUUUUGCAAGAAAACAUUCUCUUUGGCUCCAUCAUGAAGAAAGAGUUUUAUGAGCAAGUAUUGGAAGCCUGUGCUCUCCUUCCAGAUUUGGAGCAGUUGCCAAAGGGAGAUCAAACUGAGAUUGGAGAAAGAGUAAGGAAACUGUAAUUUAUCAUGUAAAGAAAUAUAAUCCCAUUCAGCUGUGCUAAUAAAAUGUUUAUGGCCUUUUU
ensembl:lncRNA ABCC13 ATP binding cassette subfamily C member 13 (pseudogene)